rnacentral:rRNA from 1 species
AUGGAGAAGAAGGAUCUGCUCGGCGCCCGGACGAAGCCGGCGGCAGGGAAGCGGCGGCGCAAGGUGGCGGCUGGCCCGGGACUCGCCAAGGCGAUCGCCGAGUACCUCGCGUCCGACUCCUAUAUGUACGCGCCGCUGGUCUCAGAACCUCAGGAGCCGCCUCCGCCGCCGCCGCCCGCGGCUGCGCCUGCGACAAGUACUCCUGCUUCUGCAGAGAAAGGAGCAGCUCUGGUGCAAAAAUACAGAGGCUCUUGGCGUGGUACAUUUGCUGCCUGCUAG